GCUACGGUAGUUUAAACAAAACAUUAGCUUGUGAUACUAAAAACGAAACUAUUACCCUCCCGAAGCU
rnacentral:tRNA from 1 species